ensembl:snoRNA small nucleolar RNA SNORA1
AGCCUUCUUGAUGAGACUGGCACCACUGAUCAUGGUAUCCAGAGAUGGUUAAUGAGGCUAAACUGAGGCACAGCUACGCUUCCAUCACAGAAAAUGGAUCGCAGGGGCAACAGUGAGACCUGUAACAUUU